AACUACAUUCCUCUGUGAUAGAAAGUAAUGCAAAUUGAUAAACCAUAAUCUAGAAAAUCUAGAUUAACAAGAGAAACUAGAAAAAUUAAGAGAAGUGUUCAGCUACUAGCUAGAAAAGUCUAGAACAAUUAAGUAUAAUCUAGCUUGGUUUAAAAUAGUCCAUAAGGUCGGUGGACUAAAAUUAAGUGAUCAAUAUGUCAGUGGCCAGUUAAGAUCGGUUAACAAAGACCUAUAAAUAUGUAUGUAUGUAAUGUAAUUGUACUCAAUUCAUGAGUGAAUGAAUAGAAGCAAGUCAUUCAAAGUAGUCCUCCUUUGUCUUCACAUUCUCCUCUUAAUCUCCAAAACAUCAUUGUUCUAAUAACAAAAUAAUCUAGCUUGGUCUAGAGUAAUCCAUAAGAUAGGUGGACUAAGGUUAAGUGAGUAUGUCAGUGGCUAGCUAGAAAAAUCUAGAACAAUUAGGGCAUCUCCAACAAUCCUUUUUAUACCCAUACUCGUACCUAUAUUUUGAGUCACCUAAACCUAUUACUAUUCAAACAUAUAUUCCAUCUCCAACCAUUAUAUCAAAACUCAUAUUCAUACCCAAAUUUUAAUCAUUUAAAAACAAUACUUUCAGCCUCAUUUUUUCUUUUUCCAGCUGAAUUUAUCUGGACCUUUCAUUUUGAAUGAAAGGCAAAUCUGGGCCACACAUUUUAUGACUGUUGGAGGACCAUUGGCGAGCUCACGUGAAACCACCCACACCAAUCCAGCUCUCUUCAACGCGUUGUUCGCGCGUCUCUCUUUUCUGUCAGUUUUUUUGUCUUUUUGCGCGCUUCUGCUGCAGGUGGGAUGACUGGCGCGUGGCUCCUGCUGUUGCAGACUCUUCACAUGCAGCUGCUGCCUUCUGGGUCCCGCGUCACCCACAAAUGGGUUUCCUCCCUACGACUUGACCCAUUUUGGGCCGUGAGUCUGGUAGGAACCCAUAAUUAGGUAUGAGUUUUUAUUGUUAAAGAUGAGUUUUUAUGGGUUAUGAGUAUAGGUAUGGGUAUAGCAACUGUUGUUGGAGAUGCCCUUAAGUACUUAAGUAUAAUCUAGCUUGGUCUAGAGUGGUCUAUAAGGUCGGUGGACUAAGGUUAAGUGAGUAUGUCAGUGGCUAGUCAAUGUCGGUUAACGAAAGCCUAUAAAUAUGUAUGCAUGUAAUGUGAUUAUACUCAACUCAUGGGUGAUUAAUGAAGCAAGCCAUUGAAGUUAAGUAAGUCCUCCUCUUAUCAACAUCUCCUAACUUAACCUCCUAACUCACUUGUCCUAGUUAUCAUAUACCUCCCAAGUCUAGCUCCUAACCAACUUGCCCUAAACACAUUGUCUAAGCCCAUCACACAUUAAACACUUCCGCACAUUAAACUAUGAUUGUGGUAACCACAAAUUCUAAUUAAAGUGGUAUAAACCCACAACAAUUUCUAAUAGUGAUAUCAGAGCCGCUUCUAAAAACUAACAGUGGUAUCAGAGCUACUUCUAAAACCUAACAAUGCCAUAGCUUAGAAAAUAGAAAAUAACAUCUUUUUCCUAAUGUAAUAUUCAUUUGCAUUAUAUAGUUAAUUUAGAUUUUCUUAGGCAUAUACCUAAACACAUGAACAUAAAUAAUAGUUUGCUACUGAGUAGAUAAAUAGAUUGCACAAACACAACUUACACACAAAAGUAACCAACAAAGAACCCACAUUGGAGGACAAACUCAACAAACAUUGCAAACAUGAACCAUUGAAAGUUUUAAUAGAAACUCAUAACAUUAUCAAUUCCAAUAGAAUGAAAAUGAAACCUACAACAUCAGAUGGAUCAAAUUUCACACAAAUCGAUAGCCAGGCCAUGUUGCUGAAACGUACAACAAUAGAGUUUUAAAGCGUACAAUUUUAAGAGAUUGAACAACUUGCACUACAUAAACACCUCUACCAAACUCAUUCUCACACACAAUUAUGAAUUCAUUGCAAAAGAACAUAUAAAGAAUUCAACCAAAUGAACAUGAACAAAACUCAAAAUUCACUUACAUCACUGUUGUUGAUAAGAUAAUGUCACCUUGGGCAUUCACGAUUUGGAUUUGAGAAGAACAAUUUUUUAUUUUGUUUGCAAAUCCUCUGUUGUUGAUCAACCAAGGCCUAUAAGAAUUAUGUACUACAUUAGCUCAAAUUCAAUUACAGUAGUUUCCAUUAACAAUAUAAAGUAACCAACAAAGAAACCACAUUGCAAGACAAACUAGACAAACAUUGCAAACAUGAACCAUUGAAAAAUUUAAUAGAAACUCCCAACAUUAUCAACUCCAAUAGAAUGAAAAUGAAAACCAACAUUACAAAAUCAAAAGAAGAAAGCUGAAAUGGGUCUCAGAAAACACCUAAAAACCUACACCAAAACUUCUUCAUGUCUUAAGAUUUAUUCGGAGCGGAUUCAGUGCACCAUGGUGCACUUGAGCUAACUAACAGUUUAAUACUCCAUUUGGUUAGUGAAGAAGAACAAAAAAAAAAAAAUGGUCGACAUCUGUUUGAAACUCUGCCUCCGCCUUCUUCUGCAAAACAAUUAAACAAACGCACACCGGUUCGGUAAAACGCCAUUGAAGAAGCCUAAGCAGCCCUCUCAGCCAAACCCAGAUAUCAAAAAGUGUCUAAUAGCCUCCCAAGGAACCCUCCGAACCAUACCCAGAAAGAAGGUAAUUCUUCAUUUUUUUUUCAUAGGCUUCAAUUCAAUCCUUUCACCAAUAGAAAGAGGACAACCAAAUUCCAAUAUCUAGAAAGUUCCUAGUUUCUUCCCAAUAUUGCAGCAACCCAACAUUCCCAUCGUCAACCCAGAACCAAUAUUAAUUAUUAAAUGAGAAGUCUAUCGAAUCACCAAUAAAGUUGAUGAACCCAUGAUUGUUGCCGCAAUGAAAUCCCAAAAGGACAAAAAAUUCACUAGGCGUCUGAAUCUAUAAAUUUCAAAAUCUCAAUCUGCUCCCAAUUUCGUACCUGCAAAUUUCAAAGAAGAAAGCUUGAUUCAACUCCACAUUGCACCACCAAUCAAUCUGCUAUGUUUAAAAAAAGCAAGCUCAUGAUCAAAACCACAAAAAAUAAGAAUCUGCUGCCCCAUUCACAGAAGCGACACAACUCAUAUAAAUAAAACCCAGAAAAGUGAUUGAUCCAAAGCCAAGAGCCUCCGUUCAAAGACUCUGAUUUGGAUAGUGGUUUUUUUGUUCAAUCUCUCUAGUUACGUUGACUGUCAGUCAGACGAAGUAUUAAUUAUGAUAGAAUUAAAUUAGUGGUUCAUAUUGCGCCACAUGUCAUUAAAGGUAGUGGUAUACUUAUACCUUGAUGCAUACAAGAACUUUCGAGAUUUAUUGGACAUAGUAG
rnacentral:lncRNA from 1 species